rnacentral:pre_miRNA from 1 species
UAUUACGUUGGUUCAAAAGUAAUUGUGGUUUUUGCAAUUAAAAGUAAUGGCAAAAACCACAAUUACUUUUGCACCAACCUAAUA